rnacentral:lncRNA from 10 species
AUAAGAAGAGAGCUUCUCUUCCUCCUCUGGACGCUGUCCUGUGUGUAGCACUCAGGACUGCUGAAGACAUCUAGGUAACAGCUUGAAGGUGAAACCAGCACUGAGGUUUCCUGAUUCCUGGGUGGAGCGCAGACUGGAGCCUAAGCCCUGACAGCAUGGGACUUGCAGCUCAAGUAUAUCUGUGCUUCACUGGAAGAGUUGAAAGAGCUGGAGACUGUCUGUGAUCAAUGAGCCCCUGUCACUCUCAUGACACUUUCCUGAACCAUUUCACCAGCACUCAGGCAGAAGAGGAGGACAGCAGGUGAAGUCAGAGAGAUUCAAAGCACAAGGAUUCAACUUUCUGUUGCUGGCCUUGAAGAUGCAGGAGGCCAUGAGCCAAGGAAUGCAAGCAGCCUCUGGAAGUUGAAAACGACCUAAGUGCUCAGUCCUACAGCUGCAUGGAACUGAAAUCUGCCAACACCCUGAGUGAUCCGGAAGUGGAUUUUCUCCCAAAGCCUCCUGAUAGGAGCCCCAGCCAGCUGACAGAUUGACUUCAGCACUAUGACAUCAAAGAGCCCACCCAAGGCUGUUACUGGAAGG